rnacentral:sRNA from 1 species
AUAACUUAGUAUUUGGAUCUUAUCCCUAUUUAUGCCAUUUUUGUGUUCAUGUUUGUGUGUGUAUGUAAUUUUUAUUUGCAUGCCAAAAAGGAUUUUUGUUGUUUUUUUUAUUGUCAUUCCAUUGUGUUGUGUAAAAGGUUUGAAAAACCCUUUCUUUGUUCAUGUUAUAAUCAAAAGUUUGAUAGUCAAAGAGAGGAAAGUCAUUAUAAAGUUAUAUGGUGCAUUUUAUUAAGCUUUUGGUAAAAAAAUAAAUUAAAAUGAUGUUCACAUAAAUGAUGCAAAAUUAAGCAAUGAAAAAAUUCUGCAAUCUAUUAUACAUGUACCAAAAAAGGAAGUUUAAUUUUGUUUACCAGUAAAACUUUUUUGUUUUGUUUUAAUAAAACAGUUUUAUGAAAAUGCAGAUCGACUUUUAAAAUAUCACUGACAUUUAUUAUGAACAUGUUCUGUUUGUAUACAAUUUAUACUGAUAUGUACAUUUUCAAUUUCUGAAGUUAUGGUGGUAUAUUUUUAUUGGUACAUAAAAAAGAAAGAAGAUUAUAUCACUGGUUGGAAGAAAUGGUUUGAAAUUGUGAUGUGAUAAAAGCCUUUGAAACGUGCUGUACAUUCCUUAUUAAAUGCAAAGUAAAAUUUUGAGAAGCAAACCUCAUAGAGUUCUAAUAGUUGUGAACUAUAUGAAUAUAUAUAUAUCCAAAGUUUGGCGCUAGCUUUAUUUGAAUAUUAUCUUGGUUUUAUACAAAAACAAUUGAAUUGUUGAAUUAAAGACAUGUAAAUUAGGAAACUUCAGUAUCUAGUCAACGUGCUCUUCAUAGUGUGUGGACGAUUUGAUUAUAUAUGCGUUUUUUUCUUUACCUUAUUUUAUUCUUGACACCUGUCUUUUUUAUAAAGAAACUACCAUAUAUGUACAUACCGUAUAUAGAUGCCUGUACGAG